rnacentral:lncRNA from 1 species
AUUGGCAAGAGCACUAGCAGCAGAACAUACCGACGGGAAGCGUUGAUAGGGCCAUCAUUGGAAACCAAUCCGCGCACGUCCACACUUCCUCCUCCAUCGUCUCAAUAUUCAGUGUUUACAUUGUUACAUGUUAUUACCUUGUUGGAUGGGCUCAUGAAGACAGAACAGCUACUUGGAUCGAAUUGAAACUUUACAGCGUUAUGUAGAAAAAGAAUUCUGUUAAAGAUACU